GGGGGGGGGUUUGAAGGUGUUUGAGACGAGAAUUAAAUUCAAUUAAAAUGCACAGAAAUUAAAUGCAACCGAAUAAAAUAGAAAACAUUAAAAUAAAAUAAAAUACUAAACCCAACAUUGCAACAAAAAAUUAUCUAAACACAAUUAAAACUAUUAAAAUCCAACACUUAAUUAAAGAGAUGAAAAACAACUCAAAAUACAAUGCAACAUAUUUUAAAACACAAGAAAUAAUCAGCACAAUUUUAUUCUACCAUUC
rnacentral:lncRNA from 1 species